rnacentral:rRNA from 1 species
AUGGCAGGGCGAGCGGCGCGGGGGCAGGGGCGAGCUGUCCUGGCGGACACGGGGGUAGGGGAGAGCGGCCGCGGCGAGCUGCGGGGCAGGAAAAGGCCGAGCUGUAGCAUCAACACAAACAAAUGCUGGCCGCAACUGCCAAGACGUCUCCAUGGGGGCUAUCCUAGUGAGCCUAGUUACCAGGCGCCGGAGUGGGAUCAUCAGGUGCUUUUCAUCACCUAUAUUGUGUUAUGA